rnacentral:ncRNA from 1 species
GGUAAUGCGAAGAUAAGGAUAAGUAAAUAGAUAUUUUAUUUUAAGAGAGGAAACGAUUGCUGAGAAGUUUCUAAAUGAUUAUCUAUUGAAUUCACCUUGGAGUGCGAUUAAUACUCGCCGUGAUACUGCGUUAAUGUGAAUUAAGAGCGUAUAUGAUAUACGAAUUAGGAUGGUACCGCGAUUAUUGUCGUUCCUAAA